AGCCCUUUAGUUUGAAACCCCGAAACCAGGUGAGCUACCCCGAGACCGCCUAUUUAAAUUUAGGGCUAACCCGUCUCUGUGGCAAAAGAGUGGGAAGAGCUCCGGGUAGAAGUGAUAGACCUACCGAACCUGGUGAUAGCUGGUUGCCUGAGAAAUGGAUAGAAGUUCAGCCUCGUACACCCCUAAUCGAGUGUAUAUUAUUAAGAUACUAGGGAAACAUACGAGAGUUAGUUGAAGGGGGUACAGCCCCUUUAACAAAGGAUACAACCUUCACAGGAGGAUAAGGAUCAUAAUAUAUAUAAAAUGUACUGUUUUAGUGGGCCUAAAAGCAGCCAUCUAAACGGAAAGCGUUAAAGCUCGGACAGAAACAAAUUUAUUAUUCUGAUAAUAAAUCUUACUCCCCUAACACUAUCAGGCUAACCCAUGCAUCCAUGGAAGAAAUUAUGCUAAAAUGAGUAACAAGAAGACACGCUCUUCUCCAAGCACAAGUGUAAGCCAGAUCGGACCACCCGCUGGAAGUUAACGAACCCAACCCAAGAGAGUAAUGUGGCCAAUAAGGAAAUCAAGAAAACCCCACAACUACGUGAUCGUUAAUCCCACACUGGAGUGCUAUUUAUAGAGGAAAGACUAAAAGAAAGGGAAGGAACUCGGCAAACACAAGCCUCGCCUGUUUACCAAAAACAUCGCCUCCUGCAACCAAACUGAGUAUAGGAGGUCCAGCCUGCCCAGUGACUACGGGUUCAACGGCCGCGGUAUUUUGACCGUGCAAAGGUAGCGCAAUCACUUGUCUUUUAAAUAGAGACCUGUAUGAAUGGCUAAACGAGGGCUUAGCUGUCUCCCCCUUCCAGUCAGUGAAAUUGAUCUAUCCGUGCAGAAGCGGGUAUAAAACUACAAGACGAGAAGACCCUUUGGAGCUUAAGGUACAAAAUCCAACCACGUCAAGAAACUCAGUAAAAAGUAAAAACUUAGUGGAUCGUGGAAAUUUACCUUCGGUUGGGGCGACCACGGAGGAAAGACCAGCCUCCGAGUGGAAUGGGUUAAAUUCCUAAAACCAAGAGAGACACCUCUAAGCCACAGAACAUCUGACCAAUAAAUGAUCCGGCCUAUAAAGCCGAUCAACGAACCAAGUUACCCUAGGGAUAACAGCGCAAUCCUCUCCCAGAGUCCAUAUCGACGAGGGGGUUUACGACCUCGAUGUUGGAUCAGGACAUCCUAAUGGUGCAGCCG
rnacentral:rRNA from 1 species